GUCAAACGGGUGAGGAGGACUAAUGGGUUUCACUGCAGCAGCUCCAUGAAGACACAGUAUGUGCCAAAAAGCACGGUUGGCUGGAAAGCAACAGAAACUGCUGCAGGGGGAAACAGUAAAACAAGGUCGGAGGACGCUUUGACCGGAAACGUCUGGACCAACAGGCCGAAGAAAGGAACCGAAUCAUCCGUCCAAUGAUAUAUGGAGUUCAUCCAUCAAAUGUUUACACAUCACAUCCAAAAUACAGGUUUAGAUCAUUAAUUAAAGAAAUAUCACACUGAAGCUACAUGAAAACAUUCCGCCAAAUCAAACAGUGACUGUGAAUGUUUCCUCAAUAAUGUGUGUUCAAUAUUUUCAAGAUUCUGUUUCUGUUUCCUGUUUCCUGAAAGGACACAUUUUGGGUUAAACAGCUAAUCUGUUGAGCAAAGAAUCCUCUUCUGCUGAGCGGUGCGCCUGCAAGUGUGCAUGCGUGAGAGUGAACGUACGCGGGCCUGCGUGACAUGAAGAUGACAUGAAGUUCCACAGCACGCAUGAAUCCAGCCUUUUCUUUCUCGGAAAAGAGAGGCACGUUCUUUGGGUGUCAUAUAAUCUAUCCACGGCAGUGACAAAGUACAUUCACUGAAGUACUGAGCUAAAUAACUACUUUGAGUUACUUGUCUUUCAUCAGAAUAUUUUAACAAGUCUGCUUCCAUAUCUCUAAAUUUCAAUGUUUCAAAUAAAUUGGAAUGAGUUCAAGCUUGACUUCCCCCCUCUGACUAAAUCUUCACGGCGGCUGACUUGUUCGCAGCACAAAGCACGGACGUGGACGAGGCAGACUGAGAGACUUAGAAGUGGAAGAGCUUGUUUGACGAUCUCCCACGCUUUCUUCAACAACAACCUCCUUCAGUCAAAAGUCACCUCACCGGUCCCGUCCCCAAACCUCCACCUCUCCACGAGGCGCCCAUGUGACUUGGAAAUAAGGCGCACAUUGUUGGCCGCCUGGUCUGAAGUCGCGAAGGUUGAGCAAUUAUCAGCAAGUGGAAAAAAAGGCAGGCUCAAGUGGAGUCUAGCUGCAGCAUGCGGGUCUGCCGUGCCCUCUGCGCUUGUUUUCACUGUCAUCAUUGGGAACGACGUGAUAGCAUCAAACCCCGGCCUCAGCGAAUUCACUGAAAAACAUCACAACAUCGUCUCUAUGGAGACAAUCAGAGGAGACUGUAAUUGAAAAAGCAAAAAAAAAAAACACAGCAGCAGCAAUUGCCAUACGACAAAGUCUGUGAAAUAAUGUCCGGGGGUCAGACUCAUCCGUCAUCCAGGCAGAGCUGAGAAGACGUGAAACAACAAUGCCAACAACGUCAUUUCACACCUCAACGUUUACACUGCCAGUUACGAACAUCCAACAGCAGGACAAUGAUCUUCAAACGCAUCACAACGCCGUCUCAUUAUUCAAGCUGCUCGUAAGUUUAACCGACAAGCUUCACCGUGACCUCCCGGACAUUCAAACCGACGCCAGCAGUCUAGUGGGACUCAAACCGACCCG
ensembl:lncRNA